rnacentral:lncRNA from 1 species
AGAGCUCGCUGCAUCCUGCCCUCAGCUCCCCAUCAGCCCCGGGCUGAGCACUGGUGACCCUUGUGGCUGUGGUGCUCUUUGCUUACUGUCAUCAAGGUUGGGAAAGACCUCGAGGAUCUCCAAGUCCAAGCAUCAAUCCUAAGCGUUCCUCUUCUCCAUUUCUGAGCCCAGGACUCUCUGGCACCUCAGCCCAGCAGAGCGGAAGCAGCAAUGAUCUGAGAAAAAUAAAGUAUAUUUUGCAGUCAGAGCUUAGGGAGGAAAAGAGAAAUCAGAUGAGGCUUCCUGGAGCUCCACAAUCUCUUGAAAAUAAAUGAACAGAUUGCCAUGAAUGAAUAAACUGCUUCAGACGCUAAUUCACAUUCAGGAGGCCACGGAGCUGAGGGUACCAGUGAAGAUGACAGAAACAUUUCCCUCUGAUUGUUCCUGCAUUGCGCCGUCUCAUUGCUGAAGGUAGCAAACAGAAGAUAGCCGUGCUCUGCACACAAACCGCUCGGCACAGAUGGCUCCGGGUGCGUCUGUCGGCUGCGAGCUCAGUGCACAUUGCUGCCCAUGGAAACUGCAGCACUGCCUCAGGAGAGGAAAAGUGGGGAAAUUCAGUCAGUAGCAACCAAAGGGCAAUGAAUCUCAUGGCCUGCAGGCAAACAAAGGCAUUUAUCCUGGAAACCCAAAGGAUUUUUAACAGGGAUUCAUUUACCUUCAUUUCCCAUCUGGAUAUUUUUUGCCUUUCAUUAAGAGGAUUGAAAAACUUGCUGUCAAAAUCAG